UGUAUUCACUACUGUAAGUUGCUCUGGAUAAGAGUGUCUGCUAAAUAAUGUAAA
rfam:Salmo salar isolate Sally breed double haploid chromosome ssa09, whole genome shotgun sequence.